AUUUCACAUUGAGGAAAGCUGUCGCCAGUUAUUUUUGUACAGAUUUUAAAGUUCACCGAACCCAGCUCUGGAAGUUGCAUGUUGUGUUUUUGGCUGGCAAUAUCAACAUACCAUAUGGAGAAGCCUCAGUUUGAGAUUUACAAUAUUGUUUGGAUUUGAUAUUGACGUAUUUUCAUUACUGAACCUGCCUUGAAUUGUAUGUCCUUUUCUUUUGAUGUACGAUGGGUGAAACAAACCCAUAAAAACAAAGGAGCAAAACCUAAAAACAACAAAAGAAACACACAGGGAAAUUCCUGUAUUGUUAAUUAGACUUGAAAUUCAUUGACUUUUGCAUCUUGUCUUUAAUAGCACCUACCAGACACGGUAGAUUCCAGACAAGAGGAAGAGGAAAGAAAUACUAUACUACUGUAGAUAUCACGGAUGCUGUUUCUCCAUCUGUUUGUCCCAUUAUUAUUGGACCGCUCCCCCGUUUUAGGGAUUUGCUGAGCUAGUGGUGUAAAGGGGGGAACAGUCUAAAGAUAGUCCUUACAUUUACUGGUAUAAUAAGAAAUGAAGGGCAACAGCUUCCACCUUCUAUGCUCUGAGAAGGUCCCUAGCAGAAAAUAAUCUGGAACAAAAACUUGGAAUGAAUGAAAGCAUAGAGGUUGAAGGGAGUGAAACAUACAGGGAACAGAAGAACCAGAGCUCCCAGAGACACAGGAGCUGAAACCACUUUCUAGUUUUCCUACUUGUAAAACUUUUCUCUUGUAAUGUUUUAUGCUUCUGCUGAAAUUGUGCCUUAUGUACUUUGAAAAGCUCAGGGCUUUUGCCACUCCAGACCACUGAUCACAGCUGCCAAAAGCAAGACUGUCAGGUAAUUAAAUGCCAUGCGACUAACCUGCUGACCUGAUCACAAUGCUUGGCGUUGGAGCCUGGGGACCCGAUCUAAGGCAAGGAGAACAACCAUGGCCUUUCAGAUCAGCCCAGCUAAUGCCUGAAUGGAGCUGCUGAGGAAGAGCAGGAAAAGUCAGAGGGUGGGUACAAGUCUCCAGUCCUGAGAACCACUGUUGAGAGAGAAGGGCAGCUUACUUUACAGACCCAUCAUGCUGUAAGGACAUCAGCUAAUUACAUGCAUAGUUGUCCACAGGGAAUAUGAGAAUCCCAAGAAGCACCCUCUGAGCUGCAUGGAGGAGCUGCAAGAGUACAGGGGAAGUCUAAGGGAGGCCAGCUUCAUGAGGACAAAACCAGCAUUUGGGGAUAAUAAUUAACCAUCGAUGGAAAGGAAACCACUGCAGCAAAGGAUGAUCCCACUGUACAACUAGUUGAACAAGUUGUCAUGACUUGCCAAAGAGAAUCUGUGGCAGGGCUAAGAUGUUGUCCUUGUGGAUCACCAUCCUUGCACCAGCACUAGCACUCUUCCCCGCCACAUCAAGCCAGGCAGCAUGAGAUCUGGAAGAUGAUUAAAGGAUAAUAAGGUCCUGGCUCUUCAGCUGGGCAUAUUUCCACAUCGUUCCUGGAGUGCAAAGAACCUAGUAGAUUACUUUAGCUAUUAGGCAAUGCUGUAGAAGCAGUGUCCCUGAUCUGGCACUUCAAGAUGCUAUUGCUGCACCCUGAACAGCAAAACAAGCAUCAAAG